rnacentral:rRNA from 1 species
CCGGAGAAUGUUAUCACGGGAGACACACGGCGGGUGCUAACGUCCGUCGUGAAGAGGGAAACAACCCAGACCGCCAGCUAAGGUCCCAAAGUCAUGGUUAAGUGGGAAACGAUGUGGGAAGGCCCAGACAGCCAGGAUGUUGGCUUAGAAGCAGCCAUCAUUUAAAGAAAGCGUAAUAGCUCACUGGUCGAGUCGGCCUGCGCGGAAGAUGUAACGGGGCUAAACCAUGCACCGAAGCUGCGGCAGCGAACGUAUCACCCAAGACAACUUUACGGAGUUGACGAUUGACGGAGCGAAGCGACGUCAAAGCGUUCAUUAAAGUCGAGUYGGYUUARGGAUACGUUCGUUGGGUAGGGGAGCGUUCUGUAAGCCUGCGAAGGUGGCCUGUGAGGGUUGCUGGAGGUAUCAGAAGUGCGAAUGCUGACAUAAGUAACGAUAAAGCGGGUGAAAAGCCCGCUCGCCGGAAGACCAAGGGUUCCUGUCCAACGUUAAUCGGGGCAGGGUGAGUCGACCCCUAAGGCGAGGCCGAAAGGCGUAGUCGAUGGGAAACGGGUUAAUAUUCCCGUACUUGGUGUUACUGCGAAGGGGGGACGG